UCGGCUGUUCCAGAGCGUUCCAAUCAGUCGGCCGAAGUGAACGGACGUGCCGGCGGCGUGCUCCGCAACCACCGAAACGCCGCGACCUUCACCAGCCGCCCUUGCCCGGGCCUUUUUCGCCGGGAAUUGUAUGGGAAGCGGCCUUCUCACCGUUUCCCACGGAUCGUCGUCUUCUC
rnacentral:lncRNA from 1 species